GGCUCACAGAAGGCAUCAGCCGUGGUCCAUGCACGGAUUCACUGGUUCAACACCAGCGCUGCAUCGGACCACGUAAAAAGAGUGACUCCGAUGCAGUUAUACUUUCACUGGAGUACCUGACCCCACCCCUAACCAGUUCUGAACAGAUGACGAUAAAUUAUCGCGUCGGCAUAUUGAAAGUGUUGAACCAGUGGAUCCGUGCGUGGUUCACGGCUGAUGCCUGUCACUGACUUACAUUGGUAUCACUUCUGUGAGCCCAUCACGGAAUUUUCGGCGAUUCCGUGAUGCCACCACAGAUUCGGAGGUUAAUUAAGUCCGUGAACAUUACACGGAAUUCUGUGAGAUCAUGUUGUUUUCAGCACACAGUCACAUCUCACUCGUUGUGGAGUUAAGUUACGUGUUACAGUGUGCUCACUUUCAGCUUUAUAAAUAAGUUUAUUAACUUUUAAUUGUUGUUGAUGCGGUGUAUUUGUUACUGCGCGUGCCGUAAAGCAUCCGGCAUAUUAACGUUACUGAGGAGAUGUUAAGCAGCUGUGAUAACGUUAAAUCUGAAGUGUUCUACAACUGUGUUUAGAGCGCUGUGUGCCUCCAACAGAAGCUGGCAGAGGAAUUGUCAGGAAAAGAAGAUACCAUUACGACUUUUUUUUUUAUUCUUUAAAAGAGAUUAUACGACUAGAUGAAGGUCUGACAUCGCGGAAUUCAAGGAUAACGCAACUUUUCUGCUAAACGAGGUCGUAAUUGCUGCUGUAUUGUGCAUCCCAAGUACUCCCUGCAUUCUUAUCAAGGAUUCCUGUCAUUCAAGAACUUAUCAUUUCCUCCCCCAUUGUGGCUGAGCUACACAUUCUCUUCAUUUUAUUUUAAACAUAAAACAUCCAGAGGAGAUGGCACCUACGUUGGAAUUCAUACAACUUCUUCCUGUGAAGAAAUCCUGAACGAGGGUCGACGGUUCAGAUGAAGGGAACCUAUGCUUCCAAGACUCAUGUAUGAACAACUUUGAGAAUCCAUGUACAAUUUGAGCUUUUUUCAGAUCUCAACAUGGAACUUGGACUGAACAUGCAGCAAAUGGAAAAAAAAAAAAAAGUAGUUUCCUCAAGCUGGCACAUGGCAAGAGAUACUAAAAGCACACAAACACUUGGAACCCUGCUCUUAAUUUAGAUUGUAUAGUUCUCUUAGUUUCACAUUGAAAUGUCAGGCAUGAGUGCAUGAAUCUUUGUUCUUUAUUUUCAAAUGAUAUACAAAGUUUUUUUUUUUUUUUUUUUUUUGCAGUACUGUCAAUUGUAGAUGACAGAAUUCACAUGAAUCACUGUCCUUUUAAAUAACAUUUCACUUAACUAUUGACUAGAAGUCUGUAGCAAUUGUUAUUAAUGACAGCCCUGGCUUUGUAUUAAUUUUUUCCCAUGUAUCUGAAAAUGUUUUGAAUCUUGACUGUUUCACAGUGAAGUUUGUGACCACUAUUUGGUGCAACACCAAUAUUGUACAAGUAGCUGCUCAUGUUUUCUUUUUUCUGCCUGGUUCUGUUUAAAACUAAAACACAUUGUUAAAUUAAUUGAUGUAAUGAUAUUUUUGUCUUCACCUGUUUAAGGCAAAUAAAAGCUACUGAACGCACUUUUAAGAAUGUUUA